UAGUAUAAGUUCUAGGUAUUA
ensembl:piRNA 21ur-3995 ncRNA